GUGAGUCAUCGAAUCUUUGAACGCACAUUGCGCCCGCUGGUAUUCCAGCGGGCAUGCCCGUUCGAGCGUCAUUUUAAUCCCUUCCCGGGGGACUCUUCUAUUCUGUAGUGGAGUGUCUACGGGGUGUUGGCAUUGGACGCCUUAUUUUUAGGCGACCGGAGCCGAAAUGAAGUGGCGGACUCGCAGCGGCCCCUAGCGCAGUAGAAACAACCCUUCUCGCUUAGGAGAGCCGUAGCGGUGGACCACAGCCCUACAUGCUUUUUUUUAAAAAAGCUAUAUCUAAAAAAAACUUGACCUCGG
rnacentral:misc_RNA from 1 species